UUACAAUGGAGAGUUUGAUCCUGGCUCAGGAUGAACGCUGGCGGUAUGCUUAACACAUGCAAGUCGAACGGAAGUCUUCGGAC
rnacentral:rRNA from 1 species